UGCGUAGGCGGAUUAAUAAGUCAGUGGUGAAAACCUGCAGCUUAACUGUAGAACUGCCAUUGAUACUGUUGGUCUUGAGUACGGUCAAGGUAGGCGGAAUGUGUAAUGUAGCGGUGAAAUGCUUAGAUAUUACACAGAACACCGAUUGCGAAGGCAGCUUACUGGGCCAUUACUGACGCUGAGGCACGAAAGCGUGGGUAGCGAACAGGAUUAGAUACCCUGGUAGUCC
rnacentral:rRNA from 1 species